rnacentral:sRNA from 1 species
AGAAGGAACAAAAGCUAAGAACGCCACGUCCUGUAACAAUGACUUUGUAACCAACAUCGUGUU